rnacentral:misc_RNA from 1 species
UCAAGACCCAAAUAGAAAGAUCGGCGCACGGUUAAAUGAAAUAAUAUGGUGGUUUUCUCUGCCAUGUCCCCGCAGCCCGCUCUGGCCGACACGGCCUUAGUGGAGCUUGUGAACAAAAAACGGCGCUGCUUUAGUGCCAAGGAAUACUUGUGAGCAGGGGCGUUGCAUUGCGGCUAUAGGCUUGGAUGAUUUGACGCCUUUGUUGGUAAAAACAU